UUGCGUUAGGGAUUGAACGGCCUGUUUGAAAUCCUUUUUAUUUUCAUUAAAAAUAAAAAGAUUGAGUAGUGAAAGCCCGACCCUUG
rnacentral:ncRNA from 2 species